AUAUGAUCGUUUAGCUCCUCAACUGUCGUCUAUACGAUCGUCUAGCUUCAUUCAACUAUCGUCUACACGAUCGUUUAACGCUUCCUCCUAUCGUUUAGUUAUUGAUGCAUCGUCUACACGAUCGUGCAGACUUUUGGUAAACGAUAGAAGGAUUUUUCAAGCAUCUAUAUUCUAUCUCCCCUAACUCUUGAAUUGUUAUCAACCGUUAUAACUGAGUGUAUUGAGAUUAUUAACGUGAAGAACUAAUCAUAUGGGACAACAACAGGCUUAUUAACGAAUUUAACAAAUAAGUCAAGGAUUUGGAAUUAGGCAGGAAUAACUCGAACACUAAUCAAAUGUUGAUGAAUUGUAACAGUAAAUUCUUUGACAGAAAUGUUCCUUCCCAUAUAUGUUUUGUGGUAGUGCAUUGUUAUUAACUAUUACCUUUAUGCAGAACAAAGAGUUGAAUUCAUAUGCUACCCUUAGCAGUAAGAUAUGAUGUCUAUUGUGAUCAACUAUGUUAUUUGGUACCUCUGACAAUCAAGGUUAAUUCCAUUAUUAUUACAUUCCGACACAAGGUAAAGGUAGUUUUGAUAAACAUUUCAUCAUAGCAUAGCUUUUACAUUUCAUAAUCUGAUAUAUGUAAAGUAAGUCUUUACGUAUUGCUCAUGGUAGACAAAUUCAAAUGUUGUUAUUUAUAUAAUAUCUAUAUAUGUAGCAUAAUUCACAUUGGGGGUAUAGUAAUUGUACUAUCAUUUUGCUUUACUGAACAUACUUUAUCUAACUAAUAUCAAUGGAUGCAAAAUGUUAAAAGUUGGUUGUUUUGACUUUUUUCUGGUUUGGUCUGAGUAUGAUUGUUGCAGCACUCAAGGACUUAUGUCCCUACGUCAGGGAAAAAAAGGAAGAAAUACUCAACGACUUAUGCCGCUAAGUUAGAAAAAAAUGGAAAAAAUAAUGAAGCUAGAGAAUGGAGAAAAGGUCGAUAAACAAUGAUUAACAACAUUGUGCCAUUUUUUGGGACAUCUAUCAAUUGUGAGCAAUAAUUAUUAUCAAUUUUCGUCACACAACAACAACCACAACAUAUGUUUGAGUAUCACAUGGUGGUACACAUCAACAUAUUGUGUGUGGCUCCUUAGAACUUUUUUUUUUUUUUUCCCCCUUUUUUAGCUUGGUAGCUCUGUAGAUUUGAAACGAUAUUGUUUAGCAUUUUUUUUUUGAGAAUUGUAUUGGAAUUCAAUUCUAAAUCAAUAAAUGAAAUGAUAGACCAUGAUUUGAAAUUA